CACCUCUUCCCAUUCCGAACAGAGAAGUUAAACCUCACCGCGCCGAUGGUACUGCGAAAGUGGGAGAGUAGGUCACCGCCCCCU
rnacentral:rRNA from 1 species